rnacentral:rRNA from 1 species
CCUACGGGAGGCAGCAGUAAGGAAUAUUGGACAAUGGUCGCAAGACUGAUCCAGCCAUGCCGCGUGCAGGAUGACGGCCCUAUGGGUUGUAAACUGCUUUUAUACGGGAAAAAACCUCUCUACGUGUAGAGAGCUGAUUGUACUGUAAGAAUAAGGAUCGGCUAACUCCGUGCCAGCAGCCGCGGUAAUACGGAGGAUCCAAGCGUUAUCCGGAUUCAUUGGGUUUAAAGGGUGCGUAGGCGGAAUGAUAAGUCAGUGGUGAAAGCCUGUUGCUCAACAACAGAACUGCCAUUGAUACUGUCAAUCUUGAGUACAUUUGAUGUGGGCGGAAUGUGUCAUGUAGCGGUGAAAUGCUUAGAUAUGACACAGAACACCGAUUGCGAAGGCAGCUCACAAAACUGUAACUGACGCUGAGGCACGAAAGCGUGGGUAUCAAACAGGAUUAGAUACCCUGGUAGUCCACGCUGUAAACUAUNAUACUCGUAUGUUGUCGAGUACACUAGUAAGACGUCGUAGACGAAGACGAGUUAAGUUAAGUACCGUUACCGUUACGGGGUAGGUUACGGCCGGCCGGACCGGGUUACGGAACGUUACGAAGUUAGAGUUAGACGGCGUUGGAGACGUUAGCCGACGGACGACGACGACGGGAGGUUAAGG